AUUGAACGCUGGCGGCAGGCCUAACACAUGCAAGUCGAACGAGUGGCGGACGGGUGAGUAAUGACUGGGAAACUGGCUGAUGGAGGGGGAUAACUACUGGAAACUGUAGCUAAUACCGCAUACCAUCGGAUGAGCCCAGAUGGGAUUAGGUAGUAGGUGGGGUAAAGGCUCACCAAGGCGACGAUCCCUCGCUGGUCUGAGAGGAUGACCAGCCACACUGGAACUGAGACACGGUCCAGACGCCUACGGGAGGCAGCAGGGGGGAAUAUUGCACAAUGGGGGCAAGCCUGAUGCAGCCAUGCCGCGUGUAUGAAGAAGGCCUUCGGGUUGUAAAGUACUUUCAGCGGGGAGGCGUUACCCGCAGAAGAAGCACCGGCUAACUCCGUGCCAGCCGCCGCGGUAAUAC
rnacentral:rRNA from 1 species